GACCAGGUUAUAGUAGGACCAUGUCAUAGUAGGACCAGGUUAUAGUAGGACCAGGUUAUAGUAGGACCAGGUUAUAGUAGGACCAGGUUAUAGUAGGACAGAGUACCAAGGGAUGUAGGACCAGGUUAUAGUAGGACAGAGUACCAAGGGAUGUAGGACCAGGUUAUAGUAGGACCAGGUUAUAGUAGGACCAGGUUAUAGUAGGACAGAGUACCAAGGGAUGUAGGACCAGGUUGUAGUAGGACUAGGUUAUAGUAUGACCAGGUUAAAGUAGGACCAGGUUAUAGUAGGACCAGGUUAUAGUAUGACCAGGUUAUAGUAGGACCAGGUUAUAGUAGGACCAGGUUAUAGUAUGACCAGGUU